CGGGGCUGGAGGACCUGGCGAGGCGGUUGGCCCUCCGACCAAUCAGAGUGAAUGAGAGGCGGGACUUGAUUAUACCACGUGAUCAUCCUCGCGGACAGCGCGGCUGUGCGGGCGGAGAGCUGUCGCACAACCAGAACUGGACAGAGUAUUCCAGAAGAGGCCUCCCCAACAUCUUGUACAUCCCCAACAUAACGUCCCAACUCCUGUACUCCAAGGUCUGAACAAUCAAGAUCCCAGUGAUUAAUGCCAAAGCCCUGUUGCCUGGGGAGAGGGUGAUGUUUGACUUUCUUGUACAGCUGCAGUUUGUGUGGUGAAGGUGCUCCCACAAUGUGGUUGGGAUGAGGCUGUCACUGGCUCGGCCAGCAUUUAUUGCUGCGUUUACCCAGAGGGCAGUUAAGAAUCAACCACGUUGCUAUAGUUCUGGAGUCCCAUGCAGACCAGACCAGAUCCCAGUGAUCAGUGCCAAAGCCCCAUUGCCUGUGGAGAGGGUGAUGUUUGAUUUCCCUGUCCAGCUGCAGUUCAUGUGGUGAAGGUGCUCCCACAAUGUGGUUGGGUGGACAUUCAGAUGGUAAUCUCAGUAAUUGUAACGCCAAACUGUGACAAAAUUACUCAAUUCAUCAGGAGCUGGAU